CGCCAUGUUGCAGUAGGACAGUAAUGAUGAUACUGAAGAUGUUUCACUGUUUGAUGCAGAAGAGGAGACAACUAAUAGACAAAAAAAACCCCAAAUCAGACACCCAGUGGCAUCAUUUUUCCAUUUAUUCUUUCGAGUCAGUGCAAUUGUAGUCUAUCUUCUCUGUGAAUUGCUCAGCAGCAGCUUUAUUGCCUGUAUGGUGACAAUUAUCUUGUUGCUGUCAUGUGACUUUUGGGCAGUGAAGAAUGUCACAGGUAGACUAAUGGUUGGCCUGCGUUGGUGGAAUCACAUUGAUGAAGAUGGAAAGAGCCAUUGGGUGUUUGAAUCCAGGAAGGCAUCCUCUCAAGAGAAUAAAAACAUUUCAGAGGCUGAAGCAAGAAUCUUUUGGUUGGGACUUAUUGCCUGCCCAGUGCUGUGGGUGAUAGUUGCCUUUAGUGCCCUUUUCUCCUUCAGAGUAAAGUGGUUGGCAGUAGUUAUCAUGGGUGUGGUGCUACAAGGUGCCAACCUACAUGGUUACAUCAGGUGUAAAGUGGGCAGCAGAAAGAAUUUAACCAGCAUGGCUACCUCAUAUCUCGGAAAGCAGUUUUUGAAACAAAACACUGGAGAUGAUCAGACUUCUUGAAUAGAGAGAGAAAGCUUAUAUGUUCUGUUACACUGGGGAACAACUGAAGAGAUUCUUGAUUCUGAACCAUUAAGAGCACAGCCCAUGUUGCAAUGAGGAGUACUGGGUUUGUUUUUUCUACUUAAGAAUUAUAUUUAAAAAAAGAAAAGUAAUUUUCAUAUUAAAAUUUUAUUUUCUUUCCAGUAGUUGGGGCUAGAAAGUAUGUUGUCACUAGAAACAUUGUCAAAAUUUGUUUUGUGGUGUACAUAAGUUGCACAU